AGGUACAGGGACCUCAGGGACCCUCAGCAUGGCUGUGGGGUGGGUGGGGGGCAGCCUUGUGCUGUUGGGGCUGAUUUGGGCUCUAGCAAAUGGAGGAGAUGUUUUCUGGUUUUGUUGCUGUUUAGUAAAUUUUUUUUUCAAUUUAUGUUUUCGUUACUGACCUCAUUGUACCUGUCUCUUCCAAAAGCCGCUCUUUUGGCAGCAUCUAACCAUGGGCUUGUUAGAUGCUCUGAGUGUUUGGAGGAGACCAGUUUUGUUGAGAGCUGUUGGUCUAAUUUCUUUCACCAUGAGCACAUGGAUAGACAAAGAAGCAUUGUGGAGGCAGGGAAAAAUGAGUGCUGUGGGUCCCUUGUGCUUGCUUGGCAAAGUCAGGCAGGUGCGUCCUUGUGAACCAAAGGCAGGUAGGAGCGUGCUUGCAAUGGAAAUACAGGCAUCUUGUUGUGAAGCAAGAGGCCUGUGGUACAUCAAAAUAGAUAGCACACCUCUGUUUGUCCCUCCUUGAACCCUGGUCAGGUUUUGGGGAGAAAACCAAGAGGAGAGAGAGGAAGCUGGAUGUUCCACCUGUCUGUUACGUAGAUUUGUUUAUUCAGUGGUAUAAAGGCUGGACCUGCUCGCAGUGGCAUUGGAGACCUCAUGUCUGGGGUGGACGCAUCGCUGUAUGAGUUCCCAACUGCCAGGACAAGUUCUCCAGAUUCUUGCUGCAAGUGGGGUUCCCCAGCGACUGCGGAUCUGGAGGAUGUUAAAGUAGUAGAGCAAUUGGUGAUGUAUCUUUCUUCAUCAUUAUCGCUACGCUCAUGUAGUAAUGAUUAGACUCAUUGCACUGCUUAUUUCCUUUACUGCUAAGCUUAUCUUUUCACUAUAAGACACUGCUUAUAUUUAGAUAUAGCGUUGAGAGACAUGUUCUAGUGGGGUUAUUGGUGGUAGGUGGAUGGUUGGACUGGAUGAUCUUGUAGGUCUUUUCCAACCUAGCUGAUUCUAUGAUGCAGGAGGAAGCCAUGGAUUGUCUUUUUUUGUGCUUUAUGGAUACCAUCAGGCAAGAACUGGUUUUCCCAUCCUGCAGCCAGGAAUGCUCCAUCCAGAGGGGCGUGUGGCUGCGAGAGGAAUGUGUCUGUGGAAGCACAGCUCGUUCCUCCCCUCUGACAGGGGCAGAAUGUGUCUGCGUUUUCCUCCUGGCUCUUAUCUCCUGUGUUAUGUUGGGAAACGAGCUGAGCCACUGUGCCUCUUUAUGAUGGUUAGCUCUGUCUCUCUGCCAUCAUCUUUAUUCUCAGCUGUUCCUGUGUGUAAUGCUCCACACUCCUGCAGACCUGCAGAGCCUGAAGGCCUCCUUGGCAGCUGUCACUCACCUGGAGGUUUUGACCUGCUGCUGUGCUGUGCCUCCUGUCUGUACCUGCUUCCCAGGUGUCAUUUGCAAGACACUGCAGGUCCAGUAGGUUAGCAGUCAGCUAACACAAAAGUGAAACAAGCAUGAAAGUAGUCUUUUUUUUUAUUUCAUAGGCUUUAAUCUUCCUUGAAGUUUGUUCUGCUGUGGAGCACAAGUGGAAGCAAUUCACCUGUAUGACAAAGGGCUGGAGCCAGGUUCCACCCCUCCCAACCCUCAUUUAAGGGCUGGCUGCCGCCAGGGCUGGGUUUCUUCUUGGUGGUUCUGCUCUUUUGUGGUGUUUUGUUUGCCCUGUUCCUCAGAGAGGGGGAUGGAGUUGCAACUGAAAUGGACUCUUCUGGUCUAAUGUCCGGCCCCCUCCCGCAUGCUCAGAUCAGCCAAGUUUGCAAGGCCUGGCUCUUGGUUGGUGAGUUGUGCCCAAGGAAGAAAUAGCUUGGAAAAGGUGGUGUCAGCCAGGAUCCUGCCCAGUGCACUGAUGUCUCAUUGUUUGGAUCUAUUGAAAACCGCCUUGACGCCAAAAGAAUGUUUGCAUCGUUUCUGUGCUGACUGUGUCAGUACAGCCCUGAGGACUGGGUCAGCUCAUGCUGCAAGUGGAUGGUAUCACAGUAUGAAUGAAGGUCAGCGUAAGAGCAGCUGCUGAUGGGAGGAAGGAAGUCCAGGCAAAUGAACUCUAAAGCAUCUCCCAGUACAGUACCAGAGGAGGCUGUAAUGAUGUCGGGGGCUUCCCAGCAGGAAGGUGGCUCAUUCAAAUGCAAGCCCAAACCCUUGUGGCCUCCAAGCUGGAGGCAGCCCGGAGGCAGUGUCUCCUUGGUCUAAUUGUGCAGUGCCUGAGCAAGAGGGUGACCUGAGAUGGCUGCGCUAGAGUCAUCUUAAUUUCUCUGUUAUUUUACUUCAGCCCCAGAACCCCGGUACCUCUCUGGUUCCCACUGGGGAAGCAGUGUGAAGGAGGCGAGCCCUUAGCAGGAAGGUGGCGGUGCCCGGAGCUCUCCAUCAGAUCUGUGCCCAUCUCAUCAGCUUUGGAGGUGUCUCUGUGCACCUGGAGGAUGUGGUGCAGAGCUCCAAGUCUGGUAUUGAUGGGACACUGUGCAGUGGUGGUUCCCCUUGUCACUGAAAAGAAACCUUGCUGUUUGCGACAUAAACUAAGGGACUCCCUUGAGCUGGUCGUGCCAGGACUUGCAGCCCUCUCCCUGAGAUGGCUGAACUCCCCUGCUCCCUUCCUUUGGGGGUACCAGGUUGUGUCAUUUCUGGCCGAUUAACAGAGAUAUCAGAGUUGGAGGGUGUCCUUUAGAAGGGUUUAGUUAGAAAAGCACUCUUUGCCUUGAGGUUUGGCACCCUGAGAAAAUGAUUUGGUAGGUGGAAAGCAGCGGUGCACUCUCUGCUUCUCUCCUCCCAUGUGCAGGCAUCACACUCCUCAGAAACGUGGUGCUGCUGGAUAACACGUUACUGACAAUAACGUGAGUCUCUUUCUUUGUGGCUGAUCUGUUUCUCUGUUGUAGGACCCAUCUGGUGCAGGCAAUCUGGUGCUGCCCCAAGCACCUAGUGUCCAGGGGGGCAGAGUCCUGCAUCCUUCCAUCAACCAGUCAGGCACUGUGUGAGACCAAGGUGUGUGACUUGGGGUUGGAUCUCAUGGUACAAAUCCAUCUGUAAAGCUAGAUGCGUAGCUGAGAAGUACCUGGCCUGAUAACGUGAGUUCUGUGCCGAGAUGGGAUCUGAAGGCUUUGCCAGUGCUGUAACUGCCAGCAUUUCAGCACCUGGCACCACGUUCGACUGUUAGCGGUCCUUUGGCCUCUUGAGUGUUUGAUGCAAGCUAGUAGUUGAGAUUGUAGGAUGAUUCCUCUGGCUUUGGCAACUCUUUCCUAUGACUGCUGGUUUUCCAAGGCCCGUGACCUUAAGCUUUCCAGCGAGGGGUGGUCGUGAAACUACUGGGUGACAUUUCCCCGUCUGAGAAUAAGGGAAAAUGAGUGUAAAAUUCCAGCUUUGGUGGUGAAGGUGUGUUCCUUGGAUGACAGAGGAAAUAGAAUCUGUUAUCUUAGUGGGUAAUACUGGCACCCUACUAGCAACAGCUGUAAAAUGUGCCUUGGCUGGUGCUGGAAGGGUGCUGUUAGUGGGCCCUGUGAACUGUUGUUAAAGACACACGCGUGUCCAGUGGCAGCUUUGUGUACUUUACUCACUGCCUGCUCCUCUCCUUGGGUGACCAGGUUACUUGCAGAGGAAUGCUCAGGUGCCCCAGCACAGCUCUCCCCUGCCUGGCUCAGCCUUGUUUCUCCAUCCAUCUUCUGGAGGACAAAUGCACGCUGCAAUGGGGCUGUACCAGCUGCAUGGGCAGCUACAGACUGCAGGCUGGGCAGCGUGGCCCUCAAGGUGAGGCAUGGCCAGCUUCUCAAGGGGGGAACCAAGUGUAGCAAAUGGGAAAGGCCUCUGUUGGUGGCAACGUCUUGCCUUAGGAGAAAGUGGUUUGCUUUGUCUUCUCUUCAUCCGUGGGUAUUGCAAAAUAGUCCACUGUUCAUGAGCUGGAGCAACCUGUGCUUUGUAUAUGAUGCUGAGAUUCAUGAAGGGUGUUGCUUUCAGUGCCAGCGAUCUUUUAAACAUUGCAUCUUUCCUCCUAGCUUAGAAAGAUACAGGUAGCACCUCCAGUGUGCUGAAGAGCCACUUAGCUUCAUAGGGGAAGAAAAUCACAUGUUGUAUGUUCUGGAAAGGGUUUAGAGAGUCUUUUUACAUCCUGCUUAGUGUGGUUGGCUGAAGUCUGGGAGUGUCAGACAGCUUUAGAAUCAGUGUUGUUACUUAGCUGUGUCAAAACACAUAUCACUUGGCUUCUCUCCAAGUGCUUUGACUUCUACAAGAAGUCUUAAGACUCUCCCUCAUCUCCAUUUGUGACCUGUAAAUAUUUGCUGAUAGGAGGUCUGUGUGGUGAUUCAUGAACUAUUUAGUUGAACGAUGCUGUCUUCUACUCUUGUCAUCCAUUUAGGAGGUUAUCCCUUGCGGCCCAACUGCAGCGCUCUGUCCAGUGCCACCUCCCACAGUGCAGGGACAGGAGGAAGCAUGAAUCCGAUGGCAGCAGGGAGCCAGAUGCAUGGCAAUAUGCCUUCUCGGGUGGGGGCAGGGAUGUGCCCCCCAGCAGGUGGCAUGGCUCACAGAGCACAAGGAGUGGCUGCCACCACCGUGCAUGCUGCUGCCAGCUCCAUCCAGAACUGGUGAGGCAUGAACAUUCCCUUGGUCUCAAUGUAUUCAAUCCAUUCCCUGUGUCACAGCUGGCGUUGAAAGCCACGGCUGCAGUAACCCAGAGUUGGGGGUGAUAUGAACGUACGCUUCCUUCAAGACUUGCCUUCUGGAAGCUUUUUCCUCUGCCUUCACUGUGUAACAAAAGAGGCCAGUUCCCAAUCAUUAUUUGGAGUGAAUGUCUGUUUCUUCCUUGCCUUCUCCAGGCCUCCUGGUUUAUCUCAGCAUGAACCAAGGGGAAAUGAUGGGUGCUGGACUUCUUUAUGGACAGUGAGCUAACAGCACGGCUGGCGUGAUCAACCACCAGGGCCCACCUUAUCCCGUGGGUGGGAAUAUGGCAAACAGCUCUGCAGUAAGGCGGUGCUGAGUGCUGGGCUUUGGUGACUUCAUGGGAUGGAUUGCAAAGCAGUGUCACGGACUGCUGUAGCUUCCUAGGGAUGGUAGUGAGUCCUGAAGUGAUGGGUCUUGCGGAUGUCAAAUUAACCCCUGCAACUAAAAGAAGCAAUAAGUCAG